rnacentral:rRNA from 1 species
UGGGGAAUCUUGGACAAUGGGGGCAACCCUGAUCCAGCGACGCCGCGUGGGUGGUAAGGCCUUCGGGUUGUAAACCCCUUUCAGCAGGGAAGAAGCGAGAGUGACGGUACCUGCAGAAGAAGCACCGGCUAACUACGUGCCAGCAGCCGCGGUAAUACGUAGGGUGCAAGCGUUGUCCGGAAUUAUUGGGCGUAAAGAGCUCGUAGGCGGUCUGUCGCGUCUGCUGUGAAAGUUCGGGGCUCAACCCCGGAACUGCAGUGGGUACGGGCAGACUAGAGUGCGGUAGAGGAGACUGGAAUUCCUGGUGUAGCGGUGGAAUGCGCAGAUAUCAGGAGGAACACCAGUGGCGAAGGCGGGUCUCUGGGCCGCAACUGACGCUGAGGAGCGAAAGCGUGGGGAGCGAACAGGAUUAGAUACCCCCGUAGUCC